UACAUCAGCCAUGCUACCUUGUGAAUACCUGAUCCAGUCUAAAGCUAAGCCGGGUUGGUAAGCUGGUUACUACUUGGAUGGGAGACUGCUGGGAAUACCAGGUGCCACAGUGA
rnacentral:rRNA from 1 species